GACGAACGCUGGCGGCGUGCUUAACACAUGCAAGUCGAACGGAAAGGCCCUGCUUUUGUGGGGUGCUCGAGUGGCGAACGGGUGAGUAACACGUGAGUAACCUGCCCUUGACUUUGGGAUAACUUCAGGAAACUGGGGCUAAUACCGGAUAGGAGCUCCUGCUGCAUGGUGGGGGUUGGAAAGUUUCGGCGGGUGGGGAUGGACUCGCGGCUUAUGAGCUUGUUGGUGGGGUAGUGGCUUACCAAGGCUUAGACGGGUAGCCGGCCUGUGAGGGUGAACGGGGACAAUGGGACUGAGGGACGGAGCAGAGGGGUACGGUAGGCAGCGGUGGCGAGUAUUGUCCAAUGGUCGCAAGCCGGUUGAGGCAGCGCUGCGGGCGGAAUGACGGUCUUUGGGUUGAAAACAGCAUCAGCCUGAGACGCCGCGGGACUGACGGUACUGGGUAAAGAAGCACCGGCUAACUACGUG
rnacentral:rRNA from 1 species